rnacentral:rRNA from 1 species
UCGAACGAGAAAGGGGAGCAAUCCCUGAGUAAAGUGGCGCACGGGUGAGUAACACGUGACUAACCUACCCUGGAGUGGGGGAUAACUGAGGGAAACCUUAGCUAAUACCGCAUAAUACCCACGGGUCAAAGGAGCAAUUCGCUCCAGGAGGGGGUCGCGGCCGAUUAGCUGGUUGGCGGGGUAAUGGCCCACCAAGGCGAUGAUCGGUAUCCGGCCUGAGAGGGCGCACGGACACACUGGAACUGAAACACGGUCCAGACUCCUACGGGAGGCAGCAGUGGGGAAUUUUGCGCAAUGGGGGAAACCCUGACGCAGCAACGCCGCGUGGAGGAUGAAGUACUUCGGUACGUAAACUCCUUUCGAUCGGGACGAUUAUGACGGUACCGAGAGAAGAAGCCCCGGCUAACUUCGUGCCAGCAGCCGCGGUAAUACGAGGGGGGCGAGCGUUGUUCGGAAUUAUUGGGCGUAAAGGGUGCGUAGGCGGUUUGGUAAGUCUGAUGUGAAAUCUAUGGGCUCAACUCAUAGUCUGCAUCGGAAACUGCCGGGCUUGAGUGUGGGAGAGGUGAGUGGAAUUUCCGGUGUAGCGGUGAAAUGCGUAGAUAUCGGAAGGAAUACCUGUGGCGAAAGCGGCUCACUGGACCACAACUGACGCUGAUGCACGAAAGCUAGGGGAGCAAACAGGAUUAGAUACCCUGGUAGUCCUAGCCCUAAACGAUGACUGCUUGGUGUGACGGGUA